rnacentral:hammerhead_ribozyme from 1 species
CACUCCUGAGGAGUCCCACAAUAGGACGAAACGCGCGUCAGACUG